rnacentral:rRNA from 1 species
AGAGUUUGAUCCUGGCUCAGAACGAACGCUGGCGGCGUGCUUAACACAUGCAAGUCGAACGCGAAAGGGACUUCGGUCCUGAGUAAAGUGGCGCACGGGUGAGUAACACGUGGAUAAUCUACCCAGUGUUCCGGGAUAACAUCUCGAAAGGGGUGCUAAUACCGGAUAAGCCCACGGGAACUUCGGUUCUUGCGGGAAAAGGUGGGGACCGCAAGGCCUACUGCCUGGAGAUGAGUCCGCGGCUGAUUAGCUUGUUGGUGGGGUAACGGCCUACCAAGGCGACGAUCAGUAGCCGGCCUGAGAGGGUGAACGGCCACAUUGGGACUGAGAUACGGCCCAGACUCCUACGGGAGGCAGCAGUUAAGAAUCUUGCACAAUGGGCGCAAGCCUGAUGCAGCGACGCCGCGUGAAUGAUGAAGGCUUUAGGGUUGUAAAGUUCAGUAAGCAGGGAAGAAUAAGCGCCGGGUAAUAUUCGGUGUGAUGACGGUACCUGCCUAAAGCCCCGGCUAACUACGUGCCAGCAGCCGCGGUAAUACGUAUGGGGCGAGCGUUGUUCGGAAUUAUUGGGCGUAAAGGGCGUCUAGGCGGGGAUUUAAGUUAGGUGUGAAAGCUAUGGGCUCAACCCAUAAACUGCAUCUAAAACUGGAUCUCUUGAGUUCGGGAGAGGAGAGCGGAAUUCCAGGUGUAGCGGUGAAAUGCGUAGAUAUCUGGAAGAACACCAGUGGCGAAGGCGGCUCUCUGGCCUAGAACUGACGCUGAAGCGCGAAAGCGUGGGGAGCGAACAGGAUUAGAUACCCUGGUAGUCC